GUCGGCAGCUAGCUCUCUGCAACUCUCACAUGGUCGCCCACUGAAGCUAAGCAGGGCUGCGCCCGGUCAGUACCUGGAUGGGAGACCAAAUGGGAAAGCUAGUUUGCUGCCGGAA
rfam:Danio rerio chromosome 6, GRCz11 reference primary assembly.